AGCGAACGCUGGCGGCAGGCCUAACACAUGCAAGUCGAACGAAGUCUUCGGACUUAGUGGCGGACAGGUGAGUAACACGUGGGAACGUGCCUUUAGGUUCGGAAUAACUCAGGGAAACUUGUGCUAAUACCGAAUGUGCCCUUCGGGGGAAAGAUUUAUCGCCUUUAGAGCGGCCCGCGUCUGAUUAGCUAGUUGGUGAGGUAAAGGCUCACCAAGGCUACGAUCAGUAGCUGGUCUGAGAGGAUGACCAGCCACAUUGGGACUGAGACACGGCCCAAACUCCUACGGGAGGCAGCAGUGGGGAAUCUUGCGCAAUGGGCGAAAGCCUGACGCAGCCAUGCCGCGUGGAUGAUGAAGGUCUUAGGAUUGUAAAAUCCUUUCACCGGUGAAGAUAAUGACUGUAGCCGGAGAAGAAGCCCCGGCUAACUUCGUGCCAGCACCGCCGUAAGAC
rnacentral:rRNA from 1 species